rnacentral:rRNA from 1 species
GACCAUCUCCUAAGGCUAAAUACUCUCUAGUGACCGAUAGUGAACCAGUACCGUGAGGGAAAGGUGAAAAGCACCCCGGAAGGGGAGUGAAAUAGAACCUGAAACCGUGUGCUUACAAGUAGUCAGAGCCCGUUAAUGGGUGAUGGCGUGCCUUUUGUAGAAUGAACCGGCGAGUUACGAUUUGAUGCAAGGUUAAGCAGUAAAUGUGGAGCCGUAGCGAAAGCGAGUCUGAAUAGGGCGUUUAGUAUUUGGUCGUAGACCCGAAACCAGGUGAUCUACCCUUGGUCAGGUUGAAGUUCAGGUAACACUGAAUGGAGGACCGAACCGACUUACGUUGAAAAGUGAGCGGAUGAACUGAGGGUAGCGGAGAAAUUCCAAUCGAACCUGGAGAUAGCUGGUUCUCUCCGAAAUAGCUUUAGGGCUAGCCUCAAGUGAUGAUUAUUGGAGGUAGAGCACUGUUUGGACGAGGGGCCCCUCUCGGGUUACCGAAUUCAGACAAACUCCGAAUGCCAAUUAAUUUAACUUGGGAGUCAGAACAUGGGUGAUAAGGUCCGUGUUCGAAAGGGAAACAGCCCAGACCACCAGCUAAGGUCCCAAAAUAUAUGUUAAGUGGAAAAGGAUGUGGCGUUGCCCAGACAACUAGGAUGUUGGCUUAGAAGCAGCCAUCAUUUAAAGAGUGCGUAAUAGCUCACUAGUCGAGUGACACUGCGCCGAAAAUGUACCGGGGCUAAACAUAUUACCGAAGCUGUGGAUUGUCCUUUGGACAAUGGUAGGAGAGCGUUCUAAGG